rnacentral:rRNA from 1 species
GCGGAAACGCGCAGAACUAGACAUCUGCAUGCAUGCCCCCACUCCCGCCUCCUCCUCUAGUUAAGUACCGACGUCGCCCGCCCCCCCGACGACGCCGACGCCGCCACGUCGGUCGGCGGCGACGCCCACGCCCGCGCCCCUCCUCAUCGAGAAGGAGCCGGCCUCGUCCACCGCGACGGCCACGGCCGUGGCACCGGCUGGGCGCCCGCCUCCGCGACGCAACGGGUGCGACGCUGAGCCGGUUGUGGUUCAAGACGAUGAUGUUGUUGAUGAGCGACAGCGUCGGCGCGGUGAAGACGUUCCGGACGUUCGCGAUGACCUGCGCGCCCCCGUGCGAGGCGUUGCAGGGGCAGCCGCCUCCGACGGCGUUCUUGUUCGCGAGGUCCUCGUCGUUGCCUAGUCCCCCGUCCGGCCCGAGGACGCGGCAGCAGCGGAGGAGCUUGCGGCGACGGCCCCCGUAGUGCAGCAGAUGGAGGUACAGCGAGGGCGGCGGCCCGAGGGAGAGGAGCCGCGACCCGGAGGUGCCGGUGCCCUCGUCGAGGGACCGGAGCGACGACGAGCCCUCGCCGCGGAGUCCGCCGCUGGUGGAGCCGGAGAAGGUGCGGUACGUCAGCCAGCAGAGCCUGCGGUGGCGGAUGCUCUACGUGGUCGUCGUGGUCAGGGUCCACCUAGUCGACGACCCCGAGCCGAUGCCGCGGCCGCUGCGGUUGCCGAGCGUCUAGGUGUAGUUCGGGACCGUCGUCGUGGAAGUUCUGCCGCGACCGCCGGAGAAACUGCCGAAGAUGCGCGGCGACGACAGGCCGAGGUAGCACGGCCCUGACCUCCUCGACGUACACUUUCGGCUCCGGUGGCGGCCGCUCGUGGUGGUGGUGGUCGUCUUCUUCCGCUGGCUACCCCUAGUCGUCUCGACCCUAGUUGUAGGCUGCAGCAGCAGAUUGCAGCUCCGAUUGUAGUACCGGAGCCUGCGCGAGUACCGGCGGCGGCGGCGCCGCAGGUACUUGGGCCGCCAGUCGUUGCGACGGUGCCGCGGCUGCAGGAGGGGAGAGUACAUGACCCCGUUGCCCCCGUAGCCGCCGAGCGGACGUCGCACCGGUCUAUACCGGUUGACGCCUAGGAGGUAACGUUGGAAGAAGAUCGGCCGGCAGGUCACUCAGAGCUUGAGAGCUGCCUACCGAUCGAGUGACGCAACCAGCAAUUGAACAGCUAAAAAGAGGAGGUAAAAAGGCCAAUUGAGAAAGGAACUGAUGUUAUUGUACAUUAAACACCCCCCUUUCGAUUCUACUCUCUCUUAUGAGACCCAUCGAUCUCUCCCUCUACUAGAGCCUCCAGUCUUUCGUCAAUCUAGGUUUUUCUGAGUAUCCCAAACAAGAGAAAGCGGCUACCUCUCUACCUGGUCAGGUCAGGUACAAGAACACGCCGCAGCGGAAGUUAGCUAUUAGUUCUUCUGUUCCCGUACGUACGUAUCUAGUUGCGCCUCUUCUCCCUUCUUCGUGCGUUCGUUCACAUUCAGAUCUAGUGAGGACCGAUAUGACGAACUAAACGACGAAGAGGGAGAGGAACCUACAAAACAUAUAUUCCGUAUACCACAUCCACACCCCUCCUAUAUACUCUCGAUCGAUCGUUAUCGUACGUCGUCGUUACCACCACGUUCAUUACUCGGAGAGAGAUAUAUAUCGAAAGAGAGAGUAGAACCGUAAAAUUAAUCACACAAAUUAACCAAUGAGGUUAAACGGUUGAGAGCAAUCUACAUAUUCAAUUAUGAUCAUGAGGAGGGGACCUUCGAAUUAAUCUCUUGAUAAAAACUCAAGAGUUCGUAACCAGUGGAAAAAUUCCCAAAGAAGAAGGAAAGAGAGACAGAGAGAGAAGAUCUCACCUAAAGAAAGUAAAAGAACCCCAAUAGAAAACAAGUUUGAGACAACAUGG